rnacentral:rRNA from 1 species
UACGGAGGGUGCAAGCGUUAAUCGGAAUUACUGGGCGUAAAGCGUGCGCAGGCGGUUUGGUAAGUCCGGUGUGAAAGCCCCGAGCUCAACUUGGGAAUUGCAGUGGAUACUGGCAGGCUGGAGUACGGUAGAGGAAGGUGGAAUUCCCGGUGUAGCAGUGAAAUGCGUAGAGAUCGGGAGGAACAUCAGUGGCGAAGGCGGCCAUCUGGGACAACACUGACGCUGAAGCACGAAAGCGUGGGGAGCAAACAGG